CCUACACUUGACAUCCUCAGAACUUUCUAGAGAUAGAUUGGUGCCUUCGGGAACUGAGUGACAGGUGCUGCAUGGCUGUCGUCAGCUCGUGUCGUGAGAUGUUGGGUUAAGUCCCGUAGCGAGCGCAACCCUUAUCCUUAUUUGCCAGCGGUUCGGCCGGGAACUCUAAAGAGACUGCCGAUGACAAAUCGGAGGAAGGUGGGGACGACGUCAAGUCAUCAUGGCCCUUACGUGUAGGGCUACACACGUGCUACAAUGGAUGGUACAAACGGUCGCAAUCUCGCAAGAGGGAGCCAAUCCGAGAAAACCAUUCGUAGUCCGGAUUGAGGUCUGCAACUCGACCUCAUGAAGUCGGAAUCGCUAGUAAUCGUA
rnacentral:rRNA from 1 species